GGUAUAGACCCGAAACCCGGUGAUCUAGCCAUGGGCAGGUUGAAGGUUGGGUAACACUAACUGGAGGACCGAACCGACUAAUGUUGAAAAAUUAGCGGAUGACUUGUGGCUGGGGGUGAAAGGCCAAUCAAACCGGGAGAUAGCUGGUUCUCCCCGAAAGCUAUUUAGGUAGCGCCUCGUGAACUCAUCUUCGGGGGUAGAGCACUGUUUCGGCUAGGGGGUCAUCCCGACUUACCAACCCGAUGCAAACUACGAAUACCGAAGAAUGUUAUCACGGGAGACACACGGCGGGUGCUAACGUCCGUCGUGAAGAGGGAAACAACCCAGACCGCCAGCUAAGGUCCCAAAGUCAUGGUUAAGUGGGAAACGAUGUGGGAAGGCACAGACAGCCAGGAUGUUGGCUUAGAAGCAGCCAUCAUUUAAAGAAAGCGUAAUAGCUCACUGGUCGAGUCGGCCUGCGCGGAAGAUGUAACGGGGCUAAACCAUGCACCGAAGCUGCGGCAGCGACACUAUGUGUUGUUGGGUAGGGGAGCGUUCUGUAAGCCUGCGAAGGUGUGCUGUGAGGCAUGCUGGAGGUAUCAGAAGUGCGAAUGCUGACAUAAGUAACGAUAAAGCGGGUGAAAAGCCCGCUCGCCGGAAGACCAAGGGUUCCUGUCCAACGUUAAUCGGGGCAGGGUGAGUCGACCCCUAAGGCGAGGCCGAAAGGCGUAGUCGAUGGGAAACAGGUUAAUAUUCCUGUACUUGGUGUUACUGCGAAGGGGGGACGGAGAAGGCUAUGUUAGCCGGGCGACGGUUGUCCCGGUUUAAGCAUGUAGGCUGGUUAUCCAGGCAAAUCCGGAUAAUCAAGGCUGAGGUGUGAUGACGAGGCACUACGGUGCUGAAGUAACAAAUGCCCUGCUUCCAGGAAAAGCCUCUAAGCAUCAGGUAACAUCAAAUCGUACCCCAAACCGACACAGGUGGUCAGGUAGAGAA
rnacentral:rRNA from 1 species